UAAGCGGAGGAAAAGAACUACANGGAUNCCCCUAGUANCUGCGAGUGAAGCGGGAAAAGCUCAAAUUUAAAAAUCUGGUGGUCUUUGGCCAUCCGAGUUGUAAUUUAGAGAAGCGUCUUCCGCGCUGGACCGUGCACAUGUCUCCUGGAAUGGAGCGUCAUAGAGGGUGAGAAUCCCGUCUUUGGCAUGGAAUCCCAGGGCUUCUGUGAUGCGCUCUCGACGAGUCGAGUUGUUUGGGAAUGCAGCUCAAAAUGGGUGGUGAACUCCAUCUAAAGCUAAAUAUUGGCGAGAGACCGAUAGCGAACAAGUACCGUGAGGGAAAGAUGAAAAGCACUUUGGAAAGAGAGUGAAACAGUACGUGAAAUUGUUGAAAGGGAAACGCUUGAAGUCAGUCGCGUCGACCGAGACUCAGCCUUGCCUCGGCUUGGUGUACUUCUCGGCUGACGGGUCAGCAUCGAUUUCGAUCCUCGGAUAAUGGCAAGGGAAAGGUAGCACCUUUUUAGGUGUGUUAUAGUCCUCUGUCGCAUGCGAGGGUCGGGAUCGAGGAACUCAGCACGCACCUCAGGGUGUCGGGGCCUUGGCCCACGUUUACGUGCUUAGGAUGCUGGCGUAAUGGCUUUAAACGACC
rnacentral:rRNA from 1 species